rnacentral:rRNA from 1 species
UUUAAAGAGUGCGUAAUAGCUCACUGGUCGAGUGCCCCUGCGCCGAAAAUGUACCGGGACUAAGCGUUGCACCGAAGGUAUGGAUUCGUAGUAAUACGAGUGGUAGGGGAGCGUUGUGAUCUGCAGGGAAGGUAUACCGUAAGGAGUACUGGAGCGUUCACAAGUGAGAAUGCCGGCAUGAGUAGCGAUAAUGGGGGUGAGAUUCCCCCACGCCGAAAGCCCAAGGAUUCCCCGGCAAGGCCAAUCCGCCGGGGGUUAGUCGGUCCCUAAGGCAAACCCGAAAGGGGUAGUCGAUGGAAAUCAGGUUAAUAUUCCUGAACCGCCAUGGUUUCGUUCGAGCGAUGGAGUGACGAAGAAGGAUAGGCAGGCAGAGCGUUGGUUUCUGCUGCUAGUUGUAGGUGUUGAGGAUUCCAGGCAAAUCCGGAAUCUGAGCCGAGGGCUGGCACGAGUGAUCCUACGGGUGAUCGAAGCUGUUCAUUCCACGCUUCCAAGAAAAACUUCUAAGUGAGAAAUCGUGGUGACCGUACCGCAAACGGACACACGUGGGCGAGUAGAAUAUACUAAGGCGCUCGAGAGAACUCCUCCUAAGGAACUCGGCAAGCUAGCUCCGUAACUUCGGGAGAAGGAGCGCCCUUUCAGGUGAAGGUCCUGCGACCGGAGCCUGUUGGGGCCGCAGUGAAAGGGGGGUAGCGACUGUUUAACAAAAACACAGGUCUCUGCAAACUCGUAAGAGGACGUAUAGGGGCUGACACCUGCCCGGUGCCGGAAGGUUAAGAGGAUCCGUUAGCUUGUUUAACUUGCGACGCGGAGAAUUGAAGCCCCGGUAAACGGCGGCCGUAACUAUGACGGUCCUAAGGUAGCGAAAUUCCUUGUCGGGUAAGUUCCGACCCGCACGAAUGGUGUAACGACUGCCCCACUGUCUCAGGAGGAGGCUCGGCGAAAUUGUAGUGCCCGUGAAGAUGCGGGCUACCAGUACCUGGACGGAAAGACCCCGUGAACCUUUACUAUAACCUGGCAUUGACCUUCGGUCGAAUAUGUGUAGGAUAGGUGGGAGACUUUGAUGCAGGGACGCUAGUUCUUGCGGAGUCAACCUUGAAAUACCACCCUUAUUCCGCUGGAGGUCUAACCCGCUGCAGAACAGCAGGGACAUUGUCAGGCGGGUAGUUUGACUGGGGCGGUCGCCUCCUAAAGAGUAACGGAGGCGCCCAAAGGU